ACUGCUUAGGUGCCCCCUUAUGGGGAGAAUAGGGAACCGUGUGUGAAUCACGGACUGUCGCGCAACUGUAAUCACCAUGAGUUUUUUCCGAAUAUGUCCACUGUCAUGAUGAUGGGAAGGACGGUAAAGACGGUGAAAGUCAGGAUACCUGCCUUAGCGGAUU
rnacentral:ncRNA from 1 species